UACGAAGGGGGCUAGCGUUGCUCGGAAUCACUGGGCGUAAAGGGUGCGUAGGCGGGUCUUUAAGUCAGGGGUGAAAUCCUGGAGCUCAACUCCAGAACUGCCUUUGAUACUGAAGAUCUUGAGUUCGGGAGAGGUGAGUGGAACUGCGAGUGUAGAGGUGAAAUUCGUAGAUAUUCGGAGGAACACCAGUGGCGAAGGCGGCUCACUGGCUCGAUACUGACGCUGAGGUGCGAAAGCGUGGGGAGCAAACAGG
rnacentral:rRNA from 1 species